UCCUGACACAGGGAGGUAGUGACAAGAAAUAACAAUACAGGGCCUUUCGGCUUUGUAAUUGGAAUGAGUUGAGUCUAAACCCCUUUGCGAGUAUCAAUUGGAGGGCAAGUCUGGUGCCAGCAGCCGCGGUAAUUCCAGCUCCAAUAGCGUAUAUUAAAGUUGUUGCAGUUAAAAAGCUCGUAGUUGGAUUUUUGCUAAAUCUUGUGCAUGUGCUUUUCUUGCUCCUGCAC
rnacentral:rRNA from 1 species